UUUUCUCAGCCGCCCCUUCUCUAUUAUCUCUUUCUCCUCAUCCUCUCUCUCUCCGACGAAGAAGGUGAAGGAGGUGAUGAUGGCGAGGGACACAUCGAUGACAACGACGAUGAGGGUGAGCCCAUACCUUCAUCGAUGAUGAUGAUGACGACAAUGAUGAGAGGGUUGGGAAAAAUUAUUUAUACCUGGAGUGGAAGCAAGAAGUUAUUACAUUUUCUCAGUUUCUUGAGAGGAUUUAAGGCUAAUGGCUCUUCCUCUGCUCCCUAAACCCUAAACCAAAUGCAACUUUUGAAAUUAUUCUUAUAAACUGGUACUUUUAAACUUUUAUUAAUUUGUUCUUUUGUGUUUUUGGUAGAAACAGAUCAUUGGAGCUUCUGAGAUGCGGCAACAAAGAAGUGGAGCUAUAAUUUAAAAUUUAGUUGUAAUUUAGUUUGCUUCAUUAUAAAUUUGGUUGAAAUUUUAAAUUUAAUGUUGGAUUUUUUUUUAAUUUUA